CUAGCUUUGACAUGGGACGAACGCCGGCCGCUGUUGCUGACUCGCGACGGCGUAUCAUAUCGCAUGACUUGGAUCUCACACGUACGGGAAUGCUAAAUGCGAUUGACUGAUGAGCCUAUUCAAACAAAUUUAGUGUCAUUUGGUUAUAUAUAUUUUUUGGUAACUUUGUUCCAAGGUUUGGUCUGAUGGAGUGUCGUCAUUUAUGGGUUUUGAUUUUUGGACCGCAGAAUCUGGCAACAGUCUGCAGCAUGUCUGCCUCGAUCUAUCAUUAACAGGCGACGACAAUAUUGACUAGCUAUCUCUAUCAUUUCGCCGGUGUUAAUCAUGGGAUACAGUUAAUUAGGGGAAAACAAAAACUAUCAUGGGCCAAUGUUGAGCCCCCCCGAGCUAGCUAGUUGAUGAGUCCAUAUUGUCGAGUCGAACAUGCAGAUCAGAUCUUCUCCACGGCUCCAUCGACCUCCUCGGCUACCCUUCGGGCCUCCUCAUUGUCGGAUUGAGCAGCCAGCCAGAUCUGCACAAUGGCGAAGGAGGCCGGGGUCGUCGUCGUGCCACACUGAGGUCUUGUUCGGUUAAUCCCGUUACCUAUGUAUUGGAUGAGAUUGGAAAAAAUUAAGAAGUUUGACUUGCUUGAGAUUUAAACUUACCCAAUCCUACUCAAUCCACAUGGAUUGAGAGCUGUUGAACUUGCUCUCCUGGGCAAUAUGAUCCAACGGGAGAGUGAAAGGAAUGCAAACAAGGUUUUAACUCGAGAUGGCGAUUGCUCUGUUAAUCCAACCUCUCAAGGGCACUGAACGGGGGUAUUUAUAGGCGCCUGAGUGCCCAGCGUCUUGAUGUAAGGACGCAUGUGCCCUCAGGCACCUGGACUAUCCCCGGAAUAUUCCCAUAUGGGAGGGUUACAAACUGUCAUUACAGAAAGACCAUU
rnacentral:lncRNA from 1 species